rnacentral:rRNA from 1 species
AAACGGCCGCGUUAGCGUGAGCGUGCUAAGGUAGCGUAAUCAAUAGCCUUUUAAUUGGAGGCCAGUGAAUGGCAAGACUAGGGACACCUGUACCCAACAUGAAAAAACAACUUUUCAUCUAGGUGAAAAGACCCAGAUAAUAAAGGAAGACGAAAAGACCCCGCGGAACUUUACCUUUUCUAGUCUCCACAUGCUUAGAAACAAAAAAACAAAAGGUUUGAUUGGGGCAAUCUCGGAACCAUCCAAACUUCCGACCCAAAAAUAAAAACAUAUAAAACUCAGUAAGGACCAAAAAGAAGUUACCCCGGGGAUAACAGCGUAAUCUAAUUUGAGAGUACAUAUCGAAAAUUGGGUUUGCGACCUCGAUGUUGGCUUAAGG